AGCUGGAUUUUUUUAUAUAAGCGUGCACAACAUGGUUCAUUUGGCUGAUGAGGCCUUAGUUUGUGGAUCUGUUAGGUAUCGAUGGAUUACCAAUUCGAAAGGGCAAUGAAGGAGUGCAAAAACAUCCCAAAUAACAUCAGAUACAUUGAAGGGUCAAUUACGAAGUCGACUGAAAUGGAUGACUGUGUUAGAUUUGCCAUGGAGCACAUGAAAAAUGCGGAUCAAGGAGGUCACAAAGCAAAUUUGGAGCCCUUCUUAAAGGAUGAACAUGAAUUCAACGAUGUGGGUUUUGUGAUUGAUGAAAAGCCAGUUCAGGUGGGCCCUAUUCAGUGGAUGCAGAUACGUCGGUGAUAGGUGCAAAGGAGUCAUUUGGAGCGAACGAAGAAGAAAGCCUCCUUUUUGAGCAAGAAGUGCAAUUUGGUCAUUAUGCAAUCGAC